GUGAUGGGGUUGUGAACGCCUCGUGAGGCGGCAGCCGAAGGUUCGCGUCUUUCAAUCAAUAGACUUGUUGAAGGGAUGCGUUAUG
rnacentral:ncRNA from 1 species